AUGAAAGAACUAUUAAAGAAGAUUGAAACUAUUGAAAAAUAAGUUUAAAGCUUAUGUUCCUAACUUCU
rnacentral:ribozyme from 12 species